AUUGAACGCUGGCGGCAUGCCUUACACAUGCAAGUCGAACGGCAGCACGGGGGCAACCCUGGUGGCGAGUGGCGAACGGGUGAGUAAAGCAUCGGAACGUGCCCGGUAGUGCGGGAUAGCUCGGCGAAAGCCGGAUUAAUACCGCAUGAGAUCCGAGGAUGAAAGCGGGGGACCGUAAGGCCUCGCGCUACUGGAGCGGCCGAUAUCAGAUUAGGUAGUUGGUAGGGUAAGAGCCUACCAAGCCAACGAUCUGUAGCUGGUCUGAGAGGACGACCAGCCACACUGGGACUGAGACACGGCCCAGACUCCUACGGGAGGCAGCAGUGGGGAAUUUUGGACAAUGGACGCAAGUCUGAUCCAGCAAUACCGCGUGCAGGACGAAGGCCUUCGGUUGUAAACUGCUUUGUACGGAACGAAAGCCUUCUUCUAAUACAGGGAGGUCAUGACGGUACCGUAAGAAUAAGCACCGGCUAACUACGUGCCAGCAGCCGCGGUAAAC
rnacentral:rRNA from 1 species